rnacentral:rRNA from 1 species
UACGUAGGGGGCUAGCGUUGUCCGGAUUUAUUGGGCGUAAAGAGCGUGUAGGCGGCCAUGUAGGUCCGGUGUGAAAACUCGAGGCUUAACCUCGAGAUGUCAUCGGAAACCAUUUGGCUAGAGUCCGGAAGAGGAGAGUGGAAUUCCUGGUGUAGCGGUGGAAUGCGCAGAUAUCAGGAGGAACACCGAUGGCGAAGGCAGCUCGCUGGGACGGUACUGACGCUGAGGCGCGAAAGCGUGGGGAGCGAACAGG